AAUGAACGUUGGCGGCGUGCUUAACACAUGCGAGUCGAACGAUGAAGGGGGAGCUUGCUCCUCUGGAUUAGUGGCGAACGGGUGAGUAACACGUGAGCAAUCUGCCCCUGACUCUGGGAUAAGCGCUGGAAACGGCGUCUAAUACCGGAUACGAGCCGAGCAGGCAUCUGCAUCGGUUGGAAAGAACUUCGGUCAGGGAUGAGCUCGCGGCCUAUCAGCUAGUUGGUGAGGUAAUGGCUCACCAAGGCGACGACGGGUAGCCGGCCUGAGAGGGUGACCGGCGACACUGGGACUGAGACACGGCCCAGACUCCUACGGGAGGCAGCAGUGGGGAAUAUUGCACAAUGGGCGCAAGCCUGAUGCAGCAACGCCGCGUGAGGGACGAGGGCCUUCGGGUUGUAAACCUCUUUUAGCAGGGGAGAAGCGAGAGUGACGGUACCUGCAGAAAAAGCACCGGCUAACUACGUGCCAGCCGCCGCCGUAACAC
rnacentral:rRNA from 1 species